UACGAAGGGGGCUAGCGUUGCUCGGAAUCACUGGGCGUAAAGCGCACGUAGGCGGACUCUUAAGUCGGUGGUGAAAUCCUGGAGCUCAACUCCAGAACUGCCUUCGAUACUGGGAGUCUUGAGUCCGGGAGAGGUGAGUGGAACUGCGAGUGUAGAGGUGAAAUUCGUAGAUAUUGGGAGGAACACCAGUGGCGAAGGCGGCUCACUGGACCGGUACUGACGCUGAUGCGCGAAAGCGUGGGGAGCAAACAGG
rnacentral:rRNA from 1 species